rfam:Apaloderma vittatum contig71961, whole genome shotgun sequence.
GGACAGUUAGCUCAGUCAGUUGAGCGUGGUGCUAACAACGCCAAGGUCGCAGGUUUGAUUCCCGUUCAGUUCC